UGUGUUUUAGUCUAUUUGAUGUAUAUUAAUUAUACCUUCUUCUUCUUUGUUGCCAACGUUUAUUAAUUAUAUCAUCAACUUAUUGUUAUAUAUUCUAAUGUUCACAUAAAAUCAAAUUCACUUUUAGAUGGUAAGGCAGAAAAUUCAAGAUAUUAUUGGCAAGUCUCUGGGCAAAAAAAGAUAUUAUUGAUUCUUUUCAAAUACCCUCCAACAAAGUUGUCAAUAUGGGUACGAAGGAUUUAGUCUCUUCUGCAUAAAGAACAAAUCUAUGCAAUGCACCAUUUCGAUCAUGGCUUCAUUGCAGAAAUUGGAGGACAUUUCAUUGACUUUAUUCAUAGACGAUGAGAAAAGUAAGGUUCUUUAUGCUGAAGUGGGGUUUGACUUUAUCGAUAUUUUAGUUAGCUUCUUCAUGUUGCCCUUGGGAACUAUCUCUAGACUUCUAUGGGAUCUGCUCAAGUUGACGUUGUUAUGGUCAGAGACACCAUUGACUAAUUUAUUCUUGCGCAAGGAACUGCAUGUUCAUUAUCAGAACCUCCAAACAAAAUCACAGUCCAUUUUUUAAGUGAAUCAGUCAUAAGACAAUGGGGGUCAUAAGAUAAGGUUGAAGGUAGUAGUGUCAAAAUCAAAAAACAAAAUACUGUUUGUAGAAGCAGAAACAAAUUUCACGGAUCAACUUCUAAGUUUCCUCACUCUACCACUGGGAGCAGUUAAAUUUUUAGGCUUCUUAGCUGGUUAGGGGUGCCUUGAUAAUUUGUACGGGAGCUUGAAACUUUCGACCGUGGGUGUUGGUG